CGUAGGGGGCAAGCGUUGUCCGGAUUUACUGGGCGUAAAGCGCGUGUAGGCGGCCACACAGGUCCGUUGUAGAAAACUGGAGGCUUAACCUCCAGACGUCGACGGAAACCGUGUGGCUAGAGUCCGGAAGAGGAGAGUGGAAUUCCUGGUGUAGCGGUGAAAUGCGCAGAUAUCAGGAAGAACACCAAUGGCGAAGGCAGCUCUCUGGGACGGUACUGACGCUGAGACGCGAAAGCGGUGGGGAGCGAACAGGAUUAGAUACCCUGGUAGUCCACGCCGUAAACGAUGGGUGCUAGGUGUGGGAGGUGUCGACUCCUUCCGUGCCGUAGCUAACGCAUUAAGCACCCCGCCUGGGGAGUACGGCCGCAAGGCUA
rnacentral:rRNA from 1 species